rnacentral:lncRNA from 1 species
GUAAUUCUGACUUUGGAGAAAACAUUUGAUAUCAUAAUACCAUGGCUUAUCAUCCUUGAUUUCUUCAACAGCAAAUACAUGGGCUGGCCUAUCAAGAUGCAUCACAAUCAGAUAGGGAACUUCAUUCUAAAACAUCACUACGAUCAUGGAAGCCAAUGUUGCAAGAGCAUCUGCCAUCCGAUUUUCAUCUCGAGGGAUAUGAUGAAACUCAACCUUUGCAAAGAAAGUUGAUAUCCUCCAUGCAUAAUCUCUAUAU